rnacentral:lncRNA from 1 species
GGCAGCAGGGACACUGGGGACAUGGGGGUAAUGGGGACAUGGGACAAUGAGGAUAUGGGGGUGCUGGGGGUGUGGAGGACACUGGGACACUGGGGGCAGUGGGGACAGUGGGGACAUUAGGGGUAAUGGGGACACUGGGGCCAAGGGGGACAAUGGGGGCAAUGGGAAUAUUGGGGACGCUAGGGCCACUGGGGACAGUGGGGACACUGGGGGCAAUGGGGAAAUCGGGGACGCUGAGGUUAUUGGGGACACUGGAGGUGUUGGGGGCAUUGGGGACACUGGAGAUAUUGGUGGCAGUGGGGACAAUGGGGACGAUGGGGACAACGGGGUAUUGGGGACAACGGGGACAUUGGGGACAAUGGGGGCAGUAGGAAUACUGGGGACACUAGGGCCACUGGGGACAUUGGGGACGCUGGGGGCAAUGGGGACAUUGGGGACGCUGAGGGUAUUGGGGACACUGGAGGUGUUGGGGGCAGUGGGGACACUGGAGAUAUUGGGGGUAGUGGGGACAAUGGGGACAAUGGGGACAUUGGGGAGACCCAGGUGCCACCACCACCCAAUGGACACUGGGGACACCGAGGACACUGGGGACAUAUAAGUGCCACCACCACCCAAUGGACACUGGGGACAUUGGGGACAUUGGGGACACCUGAGUGCCACCCCCACCCAAUGGACAUCGGGGACAUUGGGGACAUUGGGGAGACCCAGGUGCCACCCCCACCCAAAGGACAUUGGGGACACCCAGGUGCCACCAUCACCCAAGGGACAUUGGGCCACCUGAGUGCCACUACCACCCAAUGGACACUGGGGACACCCAGGUGCCACCCCCACCCAAUGGACGCUGGGGACACUGGGGACACCGGGGCUGCACAGCGCCGCCCCGUAACGAGCAUUAAUUAAACUCGGGGCCUCCGUGCCCCCCCCCCCCCCCCGGUGUCACCCUGACUCUGUGUCACAAAAGCAGGACAGCAACCAACGUGCUGGGGGGACACUGAGGUCAUGGCGGGGGACACCAAGGUCAUGGGGGGGGACAGCAGCGUGGGCAUGGCUGCCGUGGGGAUGGGGAUGGCCGCCAACAUGAGCGUGGCUACCACGGUCACGGAGAUGGCCACCAAAGUGGAUGUGGCUACCGUAGUCCUGGAGUUGGCCACCAGAAUGGAUGUGGCUACCGUGGUCAUGGAGUUGGCCACCAAAGUCAUCGUGGCUCCAGAGAAGGUCACCAAUGAGGUCAUGGCUGCUGUGGUCAUGGGGAUGGCCACCAA